rnacentral:rRNA from 14 species
GUUUAAGUCUUCUGGAAAGGAGCGCCAUGGAGGGUGAUAGCCCCGUACGACACCUCACUCAUUGUAGGAUUCUGACGUGGAGUCGAGUUGUUUGGGAAUGCAGCUCAAAAGGGUGGUAUGCUCCAUCUAAAGCUAAAUAUCUGCGAGAGACCGAUAGCGAACAAGUACUGUGAAGGAAAGAUGAAAAGAACUUUGAAAAGAGAGUGAAAAAGUACGUGAAAUUGUUGAAAUGGAAGGAUAUGCCGCUAACAAUGUAGAGCCGUG